rnacentral:tRNA from 1 species
GAUGAUAUAGCCAAGUUGGUUUUAUAAAAGGCAAAGAACUGCAAAUUCUUGAACCUCAGUUCAAAUCUGAGUAUCAUCU